rnacentral:lncRNA from 1 species
AUUGGACACAGUGACAUAUUGGACACAGUGACAUGUUGGACACAGUGACAUGUUGGACACAGUGACAUAUUGGACACAGUGACAUGUUGGACACAGUGACAUAUUGGACACAGUAACAUAUUGGACACAGUGACAUGUUGGACACAGUGACAUAUUGGACGCAGUGACAUAUUGGACACAGUAACAUAUUGGAGACAGUGACAUGUUGACCACAGUGACAUGUUGACCACAGUGACAUAUUGGACACAUUGACAUGUUGGACACAGUGACAUAUUGGCCACAGUGGCAUGUUGACCACAGUGACAUAUUGGACACAGUGACAUGUUGGACACAGUGACAUAUUGGCCACAGUGACAUAUUGGACACAGUGACAUGUUGACCACAGUGACAUAUUGGACACAGUGACAUAUUGGACACAGUGACAUAUGUUGGACACAGUGACAUGUUGAUCACAGUGACAUGUUGGACACAGUGACAUGUUGGACACAGUGACAUGUUGGACACAGUGACAUGUUGGACACAUUUACAUGUUGUUCACAUUUACUUGUUGGCCACAGUGACGUAUUGGAGACAUUUAAAUGUUGGACAUAGUGACAUGUUGGACGCAGUGACAUGUUGACCACAGUGACAUAUUGGACACAGUGACAUGUUGGACACAGUGACAUAUUGGCCACAGUGACAUAUUGGACACAGUGGCAUGUUGACCACAGUGGCAUGUUGACCACAGUGACAUAUUGGACACAAUGACAUUUUGGACACAGUGAUAUAUUGGACGCAGUGACAUGUUGACCACAGUGACAUAUUGGACACAGUGACAUGUUGUACACAUUGACAUAUUGGACACAUUAACAUGUUGACCACAGUGGCAUGUUGACCACAGUGACAUAUUGGACACAGUGACAUGUUGGACACAGUGACAUAUUGGCCACAGUGACAUAUUGGAGACAGUGACAUGUUGGACACAGUGACAUGUUGACCACAGUGACAUAUUGGACACAGUGACAUAUUGGGCACAGUGACAUAUUUGCCACAGUGACAUAUUGGAGACAGUGACAUGUUGGACACAGUGACAUGUUGACCACAGUGACAUAUUGGACACAGUGGCAUAUUGGGCACAGUGACAUAUUGGACACAUUUACAUGUUGGACACAUUUACAUGUUGGACACAGUGACAUGUUGGACACAGUGACAUAUUGGACACAUUUACAUGUUGGACACAGUGACAUGUUGGACACAGUGACAUAUUGGACACAUUUACAUAUUGGACACAUUUACAUGUUGGACACAUUUACAUGUUGGACACAGUGACAUGUUGGACACAGUGACAUAUUGGACACAUUUACAUGUUGGACACAGUGACAUGUUGGACACAGUGACAUGUUGGACACAGUGACAUAUUGGACACAGUGACAUAUUGGACACAGUGACAUGUUGACCACAGUGACAUAUUGGACACAGUGACAUAUUGGACACAUUUACAUGUGGUUCACAUUUACUUGUUGGACACAGUGACAUAUUGGACACAUUUACAUGUGGUUCACAUUUACUUGUUGGACACAGUGAUGUAUUGGAGACAUUUACAUGUUGGACAUAGUGACAUGUUGGACGCAGUGACAUGUUGACCACAGUGACAUAUUGUACACAGUGACAUGUUGGACACAGUGACAUGUUGGACACAGUGACAUAUUGGCCACAGUGACAUAUUGGACACAGUGGCAUGUUGACCACAGUGACAUAUUGGACACAAUGACAUUUUGGACACAGUGAUAUAUUGGACGCAGUGACAUGUUGACCACAGUGACAUAUUGGACACAGUGACAUGUUGGACACAUUGACAUAUUGGACACAGUGACAUGUUGACCACAGUGGCAUGUUGACCACAGUGACAUAUUGGACACAGUGACAUGUUGGACACAGUGACAUAUUGGCCACAGUGACAUAUUGGAGACAGUGACAUGUUGGACACAGUGACAUGUUGACCACAGUGACAUAUUGGACACAGUGACAUAUUGGGCACAGUGACAUAUUGGCCACAGUGACAUAUUGGAGACAGUGACAUGUUGGACACAGUGACAUGUUGACCACAGUGACAUAUUGGACACAGUGGCAUAUUGGGCACAGUGACAUAUUGGACACAUUUACAUGUUGGACACAUUUACAUGUUGGACACAGUGACAUGUUGGACACAGUGACAUAUUGGACACAUUUACAUGUUGGACACAGUGACAUGUUGGACACAGUGACAUAUUGGACACAUUUACAUAUUGGACACAUUUACAUGUUGGACACAUUUACAUGUUGGACACAGUGACAUGUUGGACACAGUGACAUAUUGGACACAUUUACAUGUUGGACACAGUGACAUGUUGGACACAGUGACAUGUUGGACACAGUGACAUGUUGGCCACAGUGACGUAUUGGAGACAUUUACAUGUUGGACACAGUGACAUGUUGGACGCAGUGGCAUGUUGACCACAGUGGCAUG